rnacentral:lncRNA from 1 species
AGGAGUUCAUGUAUUUUAUUGGUGCUUUCAAUAUUGGAGACUUCAUACCUUCGUUGGCUUGGAUUAAUAACUUCAAUGGAUUGAAUGCGAGGAUGGACAAGAACUUUGAGGAACUAGAGAGCUUUCUGGGAGGCGUGAUCGAGGAGCAUAUUCAGGAUAGGAAGACAAGGAAGUUUGGCAGUGAAGGUGUGGAGGACUUCGUGGAUGUUUUGCUUGGUAUGGAGAAGGAUGGUUCCAUUGGAGUUCCUUUUGCUAAAGAUAAUAUUAAAGCACUAAUCAUGGUAUGUUUCAACUUUUUUUUACUAUAGUUGUUUUGCUGAUUAUUCCACCUAACCAAUGAUUGAUAUCUAAUGAUUUUUUUCUUAACUGUUUUGUGUUUGUAGGAUAUGUUUCUUGCAGCGACAGACACUGCAGCCGCAACCAUGACUUGGGCAAUGACAGAGCUACUAAGGCACCCAGAAAUAUUGAAAGAAGUACAAAGGGAAGUAAGAGAAGUAGCCAAAGGAAAAACACACAUCACAGAAGACGAUGCAGCACAAAUGCACUACAUGAAAAAUGUGAUCAAGGAAACUCUAAGGGUACAUACUCCUGGUCCAUUACUUAUCCCACAUCAAUCCAGGGAAGAUGCUAAACUACAAGGUUAUGAUGUUCCUGCCAAAACUCGAGUUAUUGUUAAUGCUUGGGCUAUCGCAAGAGACCCAGCCAUAUGGGAAGAACCUGACGAAUUCCGACCAAAAAGGUUUGAGAAUUCAUCUCUUGAUUUCAAAGGAAAUGAUUUUGAGUAUCUUCCAUUUGGAGCAGGCAGGAGAAUUUGCCCUGGUAUUGCAUUUGCAAGUCCUACUAUGGAGCUUCCAAUGGCUAAUCUCUUGUACCAUUUUGAUUGGACUUCACCUAAUGGAGAGGUUCCAGAUGUGGAAGAAGGCCUUGGAAUCGUGGCAUACAAGAAAUCCCCCCUUCGUGCUAUUGCAACUCCGUAUCGUGUCUAGGAAUUAUUUUAUCAUCAUCACUCUGGAACACCUAAUGUGAAGUAAUAAAAUGUUAAGUUGCUACUGUUAAAAAAACACCGAGGUGCAUGUACCUUACUUUCAAGCGAUAACACUUUAGCAUUUUUAUUCAUCAAAAUAAAUAAAUGUUUAUGGUGUUUUCUCAAAGGUUGUUGCCUAUUUAGUGUUUGUGAGAACAGAUGUAAUACUCGUGUCUACAUUGCUCUGUAAUCUGUAUUAGUGGAUGCCCUGCUCUGGAGCAUGAGCUUCGAUGCUCGCCCAGAUGCCCACAAAUGUCAUGCGGUCUUGCCUAUUGCAUAAUUUUGCUGGCCAUCAAGGCUUUUCACACAAACACCUUUUCAAACCUUUGUUCAUCUUAGGAAGUAGGAACUCAGGCAUAAUAAAAUCCAAAAUUGUGAGGGGGUGGGCAGAUGGGGAGGCAAGGUAAUGGAAUGGCUGAUAGAGAACUAAACCAAGUGUACCAAGAGAAUAUGAAUAUAGUAAGCGGUAAAAAGCAACAUAUUGAAACAUAUCAGAAAGAAAUAAUGUAGCGUAAAGUUGUAAACAUACAGUAGUUAAUUAAGGAAGAGUCAGAAUCAAACAUACAUUUAAAUAGGACAAUUGGAGGCUGUGAGCUUUCAGCUUGACACUUAAAAGUUCAAAGAUCCAUCCACCAGAUGCACGUAAACAUUUAUCAAAUUUAAAGAAGGGGUGGACUCAUGACGAGCAGCAGUUGUCUUUUCUGCAACCAUCUGGCAUUUCAUUUGCAUGGCCACAGGUCUUCCGUUCAUUGUUGUCAUAGGACAUUAAAAUGUGAAGUUGCCUUCAUACCGAGAUCUUCAUAACUAGCAUGUUUGGGAUCAAAGGCUGAACUGGACACUGAGAUUUUUGAUGAGGCACUUUUCAGCUGAUGGCACUGGUUCGCACCCCCUUUUCGCUGAAAAAUUACCCCCCGUGAAUACAGUAAAACCAAAAUUAUGCCAAAGUGACAGAACACCAAAAAUAUCAAUGCUAUAAUAAAUAAAUAUUACCGUGGCCUUGGCUGUUCUCCUUGCUUGCCUACUGGAUGCCUGUUUAGUCUGAGAUCUCUGAUCCUGUGCUUUUGGUGUUCUCAUUGCACACAUACAAUGAUACCGGCGAGCCUGUGCUUUUGGUGUUGACUGAUUGUCGACAAAUAUAUCCCAGUCUUCUUGUCGAACACCUUCUGGACAAUUAAGUUUUCUUUCCUCAUCUGUUUUAUAUUUAUCAUAAUGUUCACACAGAAGCUGGCUCUUGAAAUUUUUGAAAUGUCUUCACAUUUUACCAAGUAUUUGUUUCUUGUAAGUCGCAGAAACAGAAAAUUUUGCCUAUAGUAAAAUCAUUAGAUAAAUUAAAAUCAUGGUAGGAAAUAUAUUGGAAUGAAAAAGAUGAUAUAAACUUACUGUAACAAGCUUCCACAUCAUUUCCUUGGUCUGAGAUGACACAUCCUUCCACAGGUCAUACGAAAUUGGACAAUGUUUCAGCGUCAGUGAACUAAGGUAGCUCUUCAGAUAGCUCUUCCAGUAAUUUAAAUUUUCUCCAAUAAGUACACCCUUAUCAGUGAAGUGAAGCACUUUCUUUGGCUCAGACGAACCUAAUAUAAUCAAAAUGCCAUUAACAAAUCUGAAGUCUUUCCAAGAACAGGGGAAACGAAAAAGGUCACAAGGCAAAUAUGAGACCUUGGUCAUAUUCAGAACUUAAAAUAAAAGGUGAAAAAGUGGAGAGUUCAUUGUUUCACAUUUUCAAAUGGAUACAAGGCAAUGAGUCACAUAAAGAGAACAAUUUAUAAACCUCGAUCUGCUGAGCGGUACUUUAAAUAGCACUAAUGGUUAAAACUUAAAAACUAAACCCCCCAAAUUUAUGUUAUCGCCAGAAAAAUACAUUGUUCCCAAUCUGCUACUUCUAAAUUCUAAUAUAAGAUGCUAACAUUUUUUUUUAAAAGGGAAGAAAAACCCAUUAUGAAUUACAGAUGAAUUAGGAUUUUUAAUUCUGUAGGUUUAUUUACGGGAUUUGGAUAAUACACACAAGUUUCACUUUUUUUACCUGAAUCUGACCAAAGUAAGUUAAUUAUCUUUCGAAAAAUACAUUACUUAGUACAUUAUUAUGCGCUUUGAGGCAUUUGAACAUUUGAGGGAUUGAGAUUGAAUACUUACGAAAAGUGACGUCUAACAUUUUCUAAUCAAAUUGAAACUCGUAAUGAUUUACGAGGUAAUUAAACAAGUUCUAAACUUAGACCCGAAUCAAAAUGUGACUGAAACUAUUGUAAUAUAGGAUCGAUGUUGAUCUAUUAAACAAAUUAGACUAAAAAACUUCACAACAACUAAAGUGCAAAUCAAUUAAACACCAAAAUCAAAAUAAGGGAUACCUUCUUGGCUGCUUUCAAAAUCCAAAACAAGCCCUUUUUCUUGUUCAUCAUCAGUAGAGCUGUAAAUAUCAAUAACUUGACCUCUAUUAUCUUCACAAUCUACUACUUUCUCACUCUUGUUAUUGUCUUUCUUUACCAUCACCAUCAUCUUUCCUAUUUGUCGCAAAGUCUUAAUUUUUUUCAGGUUUCUUUCUCUUCUUUUUGUUCUUUUUCUUAUUAUCAAAAGCAAGUAACUCCAUAGCUAAUUGUUCUGCAAAAGACAGUUUUUUCUCUGAAAACCCACCAUCGUUGUCUUCUUCUUCAAACAUUUUUUGUUCUGCAUUUACAAAAAAUCAAAAAUCUCAAACAUCAACAACAAUAUUUCCCGCCUAAAAGAAAACAAAUUUCACAUAUUUGUAGAAAAUUUUUCCCUUUUUUUAAGCUUAAAGAAUGAGGAAAACAGUCAAACAGAGAACUCACUUUACUUACCUAUGUUUGCUUGCUUGGUUCACAAGUCUCAACUCCACAUAAACCCUAAACCCCAGAAAUUAUUUUCUUUGACUUCAAAUGAAGAUUGAAGAGAAAUGAGCAUGAGUGAGUGAGCAUAUGAGGGGGGUAUGGCGGUGAUCAAGUAUUGUUUUUACUUUGGUAAUAAUACAGUAGUACAAAAAAAGUUACUGUAAUUCAAUGGGAACUUCUUUGUGUAGUUUCUGUCAUGUAGCUAAGCUUGGAGGCCCAUAAAGAAAAAAAAAAGCCCAUAUUAUUGUUUCAAUGAAUGAAUGAAGAAGCCACCCUAACCAUUCUCAUAUCUACAGCCACAGGCAGCAAUUUCUUCCUAAGUCCUAACACAAGCAGUAUUACUACUGCAUUGCUAGUGUUGUUGAUGGAGGCGGGGGUGACUUUGUUAAUAACAUGUAUUUUCUGUGUUUGGUCUCCUGUUAAUAACAUUGAUAAUAGUGUGUAUAUCAAUUGUAUUUUCUGUGUUUGGUCUCCUGUUAAGUAUUGUAAUGAGCUACAACCUGCUAAGAGCCACAAUCCUGCUAAUAACAUGAAGGCCGCCGCAGGGUUGGAGACCUGCAUGGGCCACAAUCUGUGAAUUUAGUCACACAAUCACAUGUGUUUUCCUUGACAAAAUAUGUAGAAUUUUAACAAAAAAAAAAAAAAAAAAAACUGACGAAUGUCAGCAAAUUAUAUAGCCCUUUAUCGUAAAAACACACACGGUAAGUACGCAAUUUAUGACCCUUCUUUCCAAGAUGAAAGUUAAUCUGGAGGAAAUGAGGAACUGAUCUUUCACCAUGAUCAACAUAUCAAUACCUCUGCAGUCUUAAAAGUUACUGACUAAUAUAAUACACAUGUUUGCGCGCGCAGCCUAUGAUGAAAUGAAUAGUUUAUUGAUUUGUUUUUAGUCAAUAAGGUAUCACUGACUGGUCCACUGCGUCUGCUAAUCUGAAUAGCAAUAUAUAAUUACGUAUAGGACCAUAUGAAAUGUAUCAAGAGAGCAAACUAUAUAUAAAAGGCCACACAUAUGGCACUUCAGUAUACAUAAAGUCAUAAACACAAAAUACUCUGCAUUCUGAAAUCAAAUAGCAGGGGAAGAACAAAAUGUUCCAAUUAUGGUCAGAAAUGCAAUCACUUCAUCCCAUUUCCCUCUCAGUUCUUUCCAUCUUGUUUGUUCUGUUUCACUUCAAGCUAACUAAAUCUCGAUCUGGCAAGCUGAACUUACCACCUUCUCCAUGGAAACUUCCAGUUAUUGAAAACCUUCAUCAACUAGGAACUCUCCCACAUCGUUCACUUCAAUCUCUUGCUCGCAAACAUGGUCCCCUCAUGCUUCUUCAUUUCGGUCAGUCGCCUACAUUGAUUGUGUCUUCAGUAGAAGGAGCUAAAGAGAUCUUGAAAACUCAAGAUCUCUUCUCUGACAGGCCUAGAAUGAAUUUCCAAGAGAUACUCGUGUAUGCAAACUAUCACUUAGCCUUCUCCCCUUAUGGUGAAUAUUGGAGUCAAUUGCGAAAAGUUUGUGUACUACAACUUCUUAGUCAACAUAGAGUGAAUUCUUUCAAAUCAGUUAGACAGGAGGAAACUGAUUGCAUGCUAACGAGAUUCGUCAAUCUAUUUCAUCAGGUUCACCUAUUGUGAAUUUAAGUGAAUUGAUAUUUUCAUUCACAAAUGAUGUAACCUGUAGGGUUACACUAGGUAGGAAGUUUGGUAGAGAUGAAGGUGGUAAGAAGUUUUGUCAAAAUCAUUAAGGAGUUCAUGUAUUUUAUUGGUGCUUUUAACAUCGGAGACUUCAUACCUUCGUUGGCUUGGAUUAAUAACUUCAAUGGAUUGAAUGCGAGGAUGGACAAGAACUUUGAGGAAUUAGAGAGCUUUCUGGGAGGAGUGAUUGAGGAGCAUAUUCAGGAUAGGAAGACAAGGAAGUUUGGCAGUGAAGGUGUAAAGGACUUUGUGGAUGUUUUGCUUGGUAUGGAGAAAGAUGGUUCCAUUGGAGUUCCCUUUGCUAAAGA